rnacentral:rRNA from 1 species
AACGAACGCUGGCGGCAGGCUUAACACAUGCAAGUCGAGUGCCCCGCAAGGGGAGCGGCAGACGGGUGAGUAACGCGUGGGAAUCUACCCAUCUCUACGGAAUAACGCAUGGAAACGUGUGCUAAUACCGUAUACGUCCUUCGGGAGAAAGAUUUAUCGGAGAUGGAUGAGCCCGCGUUGGAUUAGAUAGUUGGUGGGGUAAAGGCCUACCAAGGCGACGAUCCAUAGCUGGUCUGAGAGGAUGAUCAGCCACACUGGGACUGAGACACGGCCCAGACUCCUACGGGAGGCAGCAGUGGGGAAUAUUGGACAAUGGGCGCAAGCCUGAUCCAGCCAUGCCGCGUGAGUGAUGAAGGCCCUAGGGUUGUAAAGCUCUUUCACCGGUGAAGAUAAUGACGGUAACCGGAGAAGAAGCCCCGGCUAACUUCGUGCCAGCCGCCGCCGUAAGAC